UACAGAGGGGGCAAGCGUUAUUCGGAAUUAUUGGGCGUAAAGGGCGCGUAGGCGGCUUGGCAAGUGGAAGGUGAAAUCCCUCGGCUUAACCGAGGAACUGCCCUCCAAACUGCUUCGCUUGAGACCGGGAGAGGUGAGUGGAAUUCCCAGUGUAGCGGUGAAAUGCGUAGAUAUUGGGAGGAACACCAGUGGCGAAGGCGGCUCACUGGACAGGUACUGACGCUGAUGCGCGAAAGCGUGGGGAGCAAACGGG
rnacentral:rRNA from 1 species